GACGAACGCUGGCGGCGUGCUUAACACAUGCAAGUCGAACGAAGUGGCGAACGGGUGAGUAACGCGUAAUCAACCUGCCCUUCAGAGGAGGACAACAGUUGGAAACGACUGCUAAUACCGCAUACUGAAGGAGGGGAUUGCGUCUGAUUAGCUCGUUGGGGGGGUAACGGCCCACCAAGGCGAUGAUCAGUAGCCGGGCGGGGAAGAAGAACGGCCAAAAUGGGACUGAGACACGGCCCAGACUCCUACGGGAGGCAGCAGUGGGGAAUCAUCCGCAAUGGAGGAAAGUCUGGCGGAGCAACGCCGCGGGAGUGAUGACGGCCUUCGGGUUGUAAAGCUCUGUUAAUCGGGACGCGGUACCGGAAGAGAAAGCCACGGCUAACUACGUGCCAGCAGCCGCGGUAAUUC
rnacentral:rRNA from 1 species